rnacentral:rRNA from 1 species
CAGGCUAAACACAUGCAAGUCGAACGGGGUAGCAAUACCUAGUGGCGCACGGGUGAGUAACGCGUGGAUAAUCUGCCUUGGAGUGGGGGAUAACUAGUCGAAAGAUUAGCUAAUACCGCAUAAGACCACAGGAGCUGCGGCUCUAGGGGUCAAAGGUUUUUCGUUCCAAGAUGAGUCCGCGUAAGAUUAGCUAGUUGGUGAGGUAAUGGCUCACCAAGGCGACGAUCUUUAACUGGUCUGAGAGGAUGAUCAGUCACACUGGAACUGAGACACGGUCCAGACUCCUACGGGAGGCAGCAGUAGGGAAUAUUGCACAAUGGAGGAAACUCUGAUGCAGCGACGCCGCGUGAGUGAUGAAGGCCUUCGGGUCGUAAAGCUCUGUCGCAGGGGAAUAACACAAUGAAUGUACCCUGUAAGAAAGGAUCGGCUAACUUCGUGCCAGCAGCCGCGGUAAGACGAGGGAUCCUAGCGUUGUUCGGAAUUAUUGGGCGUAAAGCGGAUGUAGGUGGCUUUGUAAGUCAGAUGUGAAAGCCCAGGGCUCAACCCUGGAAGUGCAUUUGAUACUGCGAAGCUUGAGUGUCGGAGAGGUUACUAGAAUUGUUGGUGUAGUGGUGAAAUACGUAGAUAUCAACAGGAAUACCGGAGGCGAAGGCGGGUAACUGGCCGAACACUGACACUGAGAUCCGAAAGCGUGGGGAUCAAACAGGAUUAGAUACCCUGGUAGUCCACGCCGUAAACGAUGGAUACUUGUUGUUGGAGGUAUUGACCCCUUCAGUGACG